rnacentral:rRNA from 1 species
UUACGGGAGGCAGCAGUGGGGAAUAUUGCGCAAUGGGCGAAAGCCUGACGCAGCCACGCCGCGUGAGUGAUGAAGGCCUUCGGGUUGUAAAGCUCUGUCGGGAGGGACGAAGGGGAAACCCUGACGGUACCUCGCAAGAAAGCACCGGCUAACUCUGUGCCAGCAGCCGCGGUAAUACAGAGGGUGCAAGCGUUGCUCGGAUUUACUGGGCGUAAAGCGUACGCAGACGGUGAGAUAGGUCGGAUGUGAAAGCCCCGGGCUCAACCCGGGAACUGCAUCCGAAACCAUCUCGCUCGAGUAUGGGAGAGGGAAGCGGAAUUCCUGGUGUAGAGGUGAAAUUCGUAGAUAUCAGGAGGAACACCGGCGGCGAAGGCGGCUUCCUGGCCCAUUACUGACGUUCAGGUACGAAAGCGUGGGUAGCAAACAGGAUUAGAUACCCGGGUAGUCCC